rnacentral:rRNA from 1 species
CAGCAGCCGCCGCGGUAAUACAGAGGGUGCGAGCGUUAAUCGGAUUUACUGGGCGUAAAGCGUGCGUAGGCGGCUUCUUAAGUCGGAUGUGAAAUCCCUGAGCUUAACUUAGGAAUUGCAUUCGAUACUGGGAAGCUAGAGUAUGGCAGAGGGGGAUGGAAUUCCGCGUGUAGCAGUGAAAUGCGUAGAUAUGCGGAGGAACACCGAUGGCGAAGGCAAUCCCCUGGGCCUGUACUGACGCUCAUGCACGAAAGCGUGGGGAGCAAACAGGAUUAGAUACCCCAGUAGUCCCUGUCUCUUAUAC